UUAAUCUUUAAUUUGUUUUACUAGAGUACUACGAAUAAAGUUUAAAACUCAAAGGGCUUGGCGGUGCUUUAGACUUUUCAGGGGAACCUGUCUCGUAAUCGACACUCCGCGAAUUAACCUUACCUUUUUUCAGUAUGUAUACCGUCGUCGUCAGGUAACUUUUAAAAAUGUAGAAGUUAGCAAGCUCGGACGUCAGAUCAAGGUGCAGCUAAUGAAAAGGCGAGGAUGGGUUACAAUUAAUAUUUAUAAUACGAAAUCGAAUUUUAGAAGGCGGACUUGAAAGUAAAAAUUAGUAUAUAGAUUUCUUGAAUUAAGCUCUGAAGCG
rnacentral:rRNA from 1 species